rnacentral:tRNA from 1 species
GGGACCGUGGUGUAGGGGUACGCAAGAUUACAUAUCGCACAGUCGGCUUGGGUUCGAUCCCAGACGGUCCCG